AACGAACGCUGGCGGCAUGCCUAACACAUGCAAGUCGAACGAGACCUUCGGGUCUAGUGGCGCACGGGUGCGUAACGCGUGGGAAUCUGCCCCUUGGUUCGGAAUAACUUCGGGAAACUGAAGCUAAUACCGGAUAAUGACGUAAGUCCAAAGAUUUAUCGCCAAGGGAUGAGCCCGCGUAGGAUUAGCUAGUUGGUGGGGUAAAGGCUCACCAAGGCGACGAUCCUUAGCUGGUCUGAGAGGAUGAUCAGCCACACUGGGACUGAGACACGGCCCAGACUCCUACGGGAGGCAGCAGUGGGGAAUCUUAGACAAUGGGGGGAAACCCUGAUCUAGCCAUGCCGCGUGAUCGAUGAAGGCCUUAGGGUUGUAAAGUCCUUUCGCGCACGACGAUGAUGACGGUAGUGCGAGAAGAAGCCUCGGCUAACUCCGUGCCAGCAGCCGCGGUAAU
rnacentral:rRNA from 1 species